AAUAAAGUGCCUGAUUAAAGGGUUAUUUUGAUAGAAUAAAUUAUGUAAAAAAAUUACCUUUAUUA
rnacentral:tRNA from 1 species